GCGGAUAAUAUCUAAUGGUGAAAUUUCUCUUUGCUAAGGAGAAGAUGUGGGUUCGAUUCCCGCUAUCUGCC
rnacentral:tRNA from 1 species